rnacentral:rRNA from 1 species
ACUCCUGCGGGAGGCAGCAGUGGGGAAUAUUGCACAAUGGGCGCAAGCCUGAUGCAGCCAUGCCGCGUGUAUGAAGAAGGCCUUCGGGUUGUAAAGUACUUUCAGCGGGGAGGAAGGCAAUACGGUUAAUAACCGUGUUGAUUGACGUUACCCGCAGAAGAAGCACCGGCUAACUCCGUGCCAGCAGCCGCGGUAAUACGGAGGGUGCAAGCGUUAAUCGGAAUUACUGGGCGUAAAGCGCACGCAGGCGGUCUGUCAAGUCGGAUGUGAAAUCCCCGGGCUCAACCUGGGAACUGCAUUCGAAACUGGCAGGCUUGAGUCUUGUAGAGGGGGGUAGAAUUCCAGGUGUAGCGGUGAAAUGCGUAGAGAUCUGGAGGAAUACCGGUGGCGAAGGCGGCCCCCUGGACAAAGACUGACGCUCAGGUGCGAAAGCGUGGGGAGCAAACAGGAUUAGAUACCCGAGUAGUCCCA